CUAGCUACAGGCUUAACACAUGCAAGUCGAGGGGUAUCAGGAAGAAAGCUUGCUUUCUUUGCUGGCGACCGGCGCACGGGUGAGUAACACGUAUCCAACCUGCCCUUUACUCGGGGAUAGCCUUUCGAAAGAAAGAUUAAUACCCGAUGGCAUAAUGAUUCCGCAUGGUUUCAUUAUUAAAGGAUUCCGGUAAAGGAUGGGGAUGCGUUCCAUUAGGUUGUUGGUGAGGUAACGGCUCACCAAGCCUUCGAUGGAUAGGGGUUCUGAGAGGAAGGUCCCCCACAUUGGAACUGAGACACGGUCCAAACUCCUACGGGAGGCAGCAGUGAGGAAUAUUGGUCAAUGGGCGCUAGCCUGAACCAGCCAAGUAGCGUGAAGGAUGAAGGCUCUAUGGGUCGUAAACUUCUUUUAUAUAAGAAUAAAGUGCAGUAUGUAUACUGUUUUGUAUGUAUUAUAUGAAUAAGGAUCGGCUAACUCCGUGCCAGCAGCCGCGGUAAUACGGAGGAUCCGAGCGUUAUCCGGAUUUAUUGGGUUUAAAGGGAGCGUAGGUGGACUGGUAAGUCAGUUGUGAAAGUUUGCGGCUCAACCGUAAAAUUGCAGUUGAUACUGUCAGUCUUGAGUACAGUAGAGGUGGGCGGAAUUCGUGGUGUAGCGGUGAAAUGCUUAGAUAUCACGAAGAACUCCGAUUGCGAAGGCAGCUCACUGGACUGCAACUGACACUGAUGCUCGAAAGUGUGGGUAUCAAACAGGAUUAGAUACCCUGGUAGUCCACACAGUAAACGAUGAAUACUCGCUGUUUGCGAUAUACAGUAAGUGGCCAAGCGAAAGCAUUAAGUAUUCCACCUGGGGAGUACGCCGGCAACGGUGAAACUCAAAGGAAUUGACGGGGGCCCGCACAAGCGGAGGAACAUGUGGUUUAAUUCGAUGAUACGCGAGGAACCUUACCCGGGCUUAAAUUGCAGUGGAAUGAUGUGGAAACAUGUCAGUGAGCAAUCACCGCUGUGAAGGUGCUGCAUGGUUGUCGUCAGCUCGUGCCGUGAGGUGUCGGCUUAAGUGCCAUAACGAGCGCAACCCUUAUCUUUAGUUACUAACAGGUUAUGCUGAGGACUCUAGAGAGACUGCCGUCGUAAGAUGUGAGGAAGGUGGGGAUGACGUCAAAUCAGCACGGCCCUUACGUCCGGGGCUACACACGUGUUACAAUGGGGGGUACAGAAGGCAGCUAGCGGGUGACCGUAUGCUAAUCCCAAAAGCCUCUCUCAGUUCGGAUCGAAGUCUGCAACCCGACUUCGUGAAGCUGGAUUCGCUAGUAAUCGCGCAUCAGCCACGGCGCGGUGAAUACGUUCCCGGGCCUUGUACACACCGCCCGUCAAGCCAUGGGAGCCGGGGGUACCUGAAGUACGUAACCGCAAGGAUCGUCCUAGGGUAAAACUGGUGACUG
rnacentral:rRNA from 1 species